rnacentral:rRNA from 2 species
GUAGGUGGCAAGCGUUAUCCGGAUUUAUUGGGCGUAAAGAGAGUGCAGGCGGUUUUCUAAGUCUGAUGUGAAAGCCUUCGGCUUAACCGGAGAAGUGCAUCGGAAACUGGAUAACUUGAGUGCAGAAGAGGGUAGUGGAACUCCAUGUGUAGCGGUGGAAUGCGUAGAUAUAUGGAAGAACACCAGUGGCGAAGGCGGCUACCUGGUCUGCAACUGACGCUGAGACUCGAAAGCAUGGGUAGCGAACAGGAUUAGAUACCCUGGUAGUCCAUGCCGUAAACGAUGAGUGCUAGGUGUUGGAGGGUUUCCGCCCUUCAGUGCCGGAGCUAACGCAUUAAGCACUCCGCCUGGGGAGUACGACCGCAAGGUUGAAACUCAAAGGAAUUGACGGGGGCCCGCACAAGCGGUGGAGCAUGUGGUUUAAUUCGAAGCUACGCGAAGAACCUUACCAGGUCUUGACAUCUUGCGCCAACCCUAGAGAUAGGGCGUUUCCUUCGGGAACGCAAUGACAGGUGGUGCAUGGUCGUCGUCAGCUCGUGUCGUGAGAUGUUGGGUUAAGUCCCGCAACGAGCGCAACCCUUGUUACUAGUUGCCAGCAUUAAGUUGGGCACUCUAGUGAGACUGCCGGUGACAAACCGGAGGAAGGUGGGGACGACGUCAGAUCAUCAUGCCCCUUAUGACCUGGGCUACACACGUGCUACAAUGGACGGUACAACGAGUCGCGAACUCGCGAGGGCAAGCAAAUCUCUUAAAACCGUUCUCAGUUCGGACUGCAGGCUGCAACUCGCCUGCACGAAGUCGGAAUCGCUAGUAAUCGCGGA